GCCGAAGUGGUGAAAUUGGUAGACGCGCACGCUUGAGGGGCGUGUGGGGAGACCCGUGCCGGUUCGAGUCCGGCCUUCGGCA
rnacentral:tRNA from 1 species